rnacentral:rRNA from 1 species
UACAGAGGUGGCAAGCGUUGUUCGGAAUUACUGGGCGUAAAGGGCGCGUAGGCGGUCUUGCAAGUCCUGUGUGAAAUCCCUCGGCUCAACUGAGGAACUGCACAGGAAACUGCUUGGCUUGAGUUCGGGAGAGGGAAGCGGAAUUCCGGGUGUAGCGGUGAAAUGCGUAGAUAUCGGAAGGAACAUCAGUGGCGAAAGCGACUUCCUGGACCAAUACUGACGCUCAUGUGCGAAAGCGUGGGGAGCAAACAGG